AUGAGCUGUGUCCCCGGGAACACAGAGUGUGGAGCCCUGCAAGUGUCCACAUCCCUGCCCCUUCAGGUCCCUCAGCCAGGUUCUCUGGCCUAGGGUCUGCUCGUCUUCUCGUUCCGAGUGGAAAGCUACUCUCUAGAAUUCUCCAGGCAAGUUUUUCAGAAAAUAUACCUUAGCGAGCACACUCAGACUGAAGAUGCUCGCUGACCCGGGAGGUCACUGUUAGGAGCAAGGUUCGCCAGGAGCUUACCGAACCCGGAGCUCGCUUGCCGCGGCAGCCAUUACUGCAGGAUCCUUCCCGUUUUCGGCAAAGCCUUGACUCCUGGGCAAGAGGAGCCUUGGUCGCUGCCUGCUAGUCUAGGGGCAUUGAAAUAUCCCGGAUCAAACUAUGUCCCUGUGUUUGCCGAAAAGAAAUGGAUGCCUGGAAGAAGCUUCACACUGGAGCGAUCACCUCUGCCCCUAGUGGAUCCUGCUCUGCCUGUGUUGCUGCUGUCCUUUGGAGAUGAACAACAAUACGGAUGUAUUCUAAUUGUUCGUGAUCUUUCCGCGAUCCUGGACAAUGGAGAGUGUUGCUACUUAGUAUAUUCAGCAGGAGCUCAGUACAACCAGCGUCGUGGGCUGAAUGUAUACUCGAUGACACAAAGCCUUUGUGGUUGAUGAUCGCUACUUGUUCUCAGUUUUGAUUUUUUUUGAGACCAGAUUUCUGUGUAUAACAGCUCCAACAGUGCUGGAACUUGCUUUGUAGACAAGGCUCGAAUUCACAGAGAUCUGAAAGGAAGAAUCGAGAUACUAUCCAGACUGCUUCUGAUUAUAUUGAUGCCGCUGCUCACCAAAUAAAUGAACGGAUAUGCUGAUACUCUCAGUUUGUGUCUACAGAAGGACUAUCUGAACAGGCCAUCCCAUUCAAGAUUCCCUUUAGCAGACUCUAAUAGACUAUAUGCUAGGCCAUACAAUUCCUAAUUAGCAAAGGUGAUAAGACAGGAGUCUCACUGUAAUUAACACUAAACUUUCAUUUUCCUCCCCUCCUCCCUCCCUAUUUCUCUUCAAGGCAAAAUCUUGCUCUGUUGUAGCCCAGCAUGCCCCCCACC